UCUCCCCCCCCCCCCCCUUGUGAUAAACCCUAAGCGCCACAGUAGAUUUCUCUCUCUUCCAUUUCUAAAACUGGCAACGAUACAGAGCGAUCAGAUUUCACGCGGUGUUAGUACGCCUAAAUCGAGUAGUAUAAUCAAUUGUUUGUACGAGUCCUUGGUGUAUACAUCAAACAAGGCAAUUUUAAUCUCCUUUCCCCUUUUUCUUUCUAUGAUUUCUCAGUCAAAGACGUAAAGGCAUGGAUCUGAACCCAGUGACCUUGAUUUUCAUUUGUCAAAUCUCAUUUGACCUGGAUCGAGGUGAACUGGCCAAGAUCAAACUCCUCAUCAUUAUUUAGUGAAGAUCUAAGCCGUUCGUUUCAAUGUAAAUCACAAAUUUUAGGAAAAACUUACAAGUCCCACAUCGAUGGACUAGGGUGUUGAUAUCUUUUAGACUUGACUGUGAAAUUGGGUCUUUAGUUCAAAAAUUUAUAUAUUUUGGCCUUUUCUUGUGCUGCUGAGUUCGAGAAUUGAAAGCACAGAGGCUCCAAGUCCAUUCUUGCUCCGGUUGCACAUCAAAAAGCUAUCUUGUGACACCGAGCUUAUGUGGUCGGGUAUGAUAUCUAUUGUGCACACACCACUGCAGUUGGGUAUGGACAACACUGAGCCUUGCUACGACCGGGUAUGGAUGAUGCCAAACCUAUAUGAACGGGUAGGCAGGGAGAUAGACCAGACCUUUAGGCUGCUUCAUCAGUGAUUGCAUAGAGGUGUUCCAUUUGAUCCGGAGCUGCAAUAGUUGGUAUUAUUAUUAUUUUUGUGUAAGGGUCCUGUCCUGUCUUUAUGAUAUUACAUACUCUUUGUGAAGGAUCGUAGACAGAUGUGUGUAGCUAGAUUUCCCUCAGUUUUGUCGGUUCACAUUUUGUAUAUCAUUUUGAUAGCCUUGUCGGCUUCUGUAUAUAUGGGCAUAGUUGAUGAUGUUUAUAUAAAAUAGUGCCUUGGCCCGGUGGA